UGGGGAAUAUUGCGCAAUGGGCGAAAGCCUGAUGCAGCAACGCCGCGUGCGGGAAGACAGCCCUAGGGUUGUAAACCGCUUUCAGCAGGGAAGAAACUGACGGUACCUGCAGAAGAAGAUGCGGCCAACUACGUGCCAGCAGCCGCGGUGACACGUAGGCAUCAAGCGUUAUCCGGAUUUAUUGGGCGUAAAGAGCUCGUAGGCGGUUCGGUAAGUCGGGUGUGAAAACUCUGGGCUCAACCCAGAGAGGCCACUCGAUACUGCUGUGACUAGAGUGCGGUAGGGGAGCGGGGAAUUCCUGGUGUAGCGGUGAAAUGCGCAGAUAUCAGGAGGAACACCAGUGGCGAAGGCGCCGCUCUGGGCCGUAACUGACGCUGAGGAGCGAAAGCAUGGGUAGCAAACAGGAUUAGAUACCCUGGUAGUCCAUGCCGUAAACGUUGGGCACUAGGUGUGGGUCUC
rnacentral:rRNA from 1 species